GAAGCGGCAACAGCUCAAAUUUGAAAUCUGGCGCAAGCCCGAGUUGUAAUUUGUAGAGGAUGCUUCAGGGCAGCGGCCGGUCUAAGUUCCUUGGAACAGGACGUCAUAGAGGGUGAGAAUCCCGUAUGCGACCGGUUGGCACCCGUCACGUAGCUCCUUCGACGAGUCGAGUUGUUUGGGAAUGCAGCUCUAAAUGGGUGGUAAAUUCCAUCUAAAGCUAAAUACCGGCCAGAGACCGAUAGCGCACAAGUAGAGUGAUCGAAAGAUGAAAAGCACUUUGGAAAGAGAGUUAAAAAGCACGUGAAAUUGUUGAAAGGGAAGCGCAUGCAACCAGACUUGUCGGCGGUGUUCCGCCGGUCUUUUGACCGGUCCAUUCGCCGCCGGCAGGCCAGCAUCAUCUGGGCGCGCCGGACAAAGGCGUGGGGAAUGUAGCUCCUCGGAGUAUUAUAGCCCCGCGCACAAUACGGCGCCGCCCGGGUGAGGUCCGCGCUUCGGCUAGGAUGCUGGCGUAAUGGUUGUCUGCGGCCCGUCUUGAAACACGGACCAAGGAGUCUAACAUCUAUGCGAGUGUUCGGGUGUCAAACCCCUACGCGGAAUGAAAGUGAACGGAGGUGGGAAGCGCAAGCUGCACCAUCGACCGAUCCUGAUGUCUUCGGAUGGAUUUGAGUAAGAGCAUAGCUGUUGGGACCCGAAAGAUGGUGAACUAUGCCUGAAUAGGGUGAAGCCAGAGGAAACUCUGGUGGA
rnacentral:rRNA from 1 species